CUCCUACGGGAGGCAGCAGUGGGGGAUAUUGCACAAUGGGGGAAACCCUGAUGCAGCGACGCCGCGUGAGGGAAGACGGCCUUCGGGUUGUAAACCUCUGUCUUCGGGGACGAAUAAAUGACGGUACCCGAGGAGGAAGCCACGGCUAACUACGUGCCAGCAGCCGCGGUAAUACGUAGGUGGCAAGCGUUGUCCGGAAUUACUGGGUGUAAAGGGAGCGUAGGCGGGGAGGCAAGUUGAAUGUCUAAACUAUCGGCUCAACUGAUAGUCGCGUUCAAAACUGCCACUCUUGAGUGCAGUAGAGGUAGGCGGAAUUCCUAGUGUAGCGGUGAAAUGCGUAGAUAUUAGGAGGAACACCAGUGGCGAAGGCGGCCUACUGGGCUGUAACUGACGCUGAGGCUCGAAAGCGUGGGUAGCAAACAGGAUUAGAUACCCUGGUAGUCCACGCCGUAAACGAUGAUUACUAGGUGUGGGGGGACUGACCCCUUCCGUGCCGGAGUUAACACAAUAAGUAAUCCACCUGGGGAGUACGGCCGCAAGGCUGAAACUCAAAGGAAUUGACGGGGGCCCGCACAAGCAGUGGAGUAUGUGGUUUAAUUCGAAGCAACGCGAAGAACCUUACCAGGUCUUGACAUCGAGUGACGAACUUAGAGAUAAGUUCUUCCUUCGGGACACGAAGACAGGUGGUGCAUGGUUGUCGUCAGCUCGUGUCGUGAGAUGUUGGGUUAAGUCCCGCAACGAGCGCAACCCUUAUCAUUAGUUGCUACGCAAGAGCACUCUAAUGAGACUGCCGUUGAUAAAACGGAGGAAGGUGGGGAUGACGUCAAAUCAUCAUGCCCCUUAUGACCUGGGCUACACACGUACUACAAUGGUGAUCAAACAGAGGGAAGCAACACAGCGAUGUGAAGCAGAACCCGAAAAAUCAUCUCAGUUCAGAUUGCAGGCUGCAACUCGCCUGCAUGAAGUCGGAAUUGCUAGUAAUCGCGGAUCAGCAUGCCGCGGUGAAUACGUUCCCGGGCCUUGUACACACCGC
rnacentral:rRNA from 1 species